UACAGUCGUUUUUCUUUCAAU
rnacentral:piRNA from 1 species